rnacentral:rRNA from 1 species
UACCAGCACCCCGAGUGGUCGGGACGAUUAUUGGGCCUAAAGCAUCCGUAGCCGGUUCUACAAGUCUUCCGUUAAAUCCACCUGCUUAACAGAUGGGCUGCGGAGGAUACUAUAGAGCUAGGAGGCGGGAGAGGCAAGCGGUACUUAGUGGGUAGGGGGUAAAAUCCGUUGAUCCAUUGAAGACCACCAGUGGCGAAGGCGGCUUGCCAGAACGCACUCGACGGUGAGGGAUGAAAGCU